ACGGGUGACGUAACGCGUGGGUAACCUGCCUACAUACAGGGGGAUAACAGUAGAAAUGACUGCUAACACCGCAUAAUAUAGUGAAACCGCAUGAUUUUGCUAUCAAAUAUUUAUAGGUAUGAGAUGGGCCCGCGUCUGAUUUAGCUAGUUGGUGGGGUAAAAGCCUACCAAGGCGACGAUCAGUAGCCGGCUUGAGAGAGUGACCGGCCACAUUGGGACUGAGACACGGCCCAAACUCCUACGGGAGGCAGCAGUGGGGAAUAUUGGACAAGUGGGGGAAACCCUGAUCCAGCCGACGCCGUCGUGAGUGAAGAAGUAUUUCGGUAUGUAAAGCUCUAUCAGCAGGGAAGAUAAUGACAGUACCUGACUAAGAAGCCCCGGCUAACUACGUGCCAGCCGCCGC
rnacentral:rRNA from 1 species